CGCGACCGAAGGUAAAGCAUCGAAGGAGAAAACAACUGAAUCUUUGGAAAAGAAUCCAACCACAGAAAUUGCCGACACCGGCGUUUCCAAAAAGCACUGCCGACCGGAAACCUCCAAAUCUAAACCCAAGCCAACCCGACGUUCCAACCGCAAUCAUCCAAGGAUGUUAAAACCUGAUUCCACAGUUUAUGUCAUCGACGAUGCGGCUCAAGCAAAACCGUCCCCAACGAAAUAAGCCCGAAAAGGGAAGCUUAAACAACGACGCUUGAUUGACUCCUCCACGACUGGCGAUGAAGAGUCCACAACACCGAUCCAAGAGGAACAUGCAGCC
rnacentral:lncRNA from 1 species